rnacentral:rRNA from 1 species
AUUGAACGCUGGCGGCAGGCCUAACACAUGCAAGUCGAACGGUAGCACAGAGAGCUUGCUCUCGGGUGACGAGUGGCGGACGGGUGAGUAAUGUCUGGGAAACUGCCCGAUGGAGGGGGAUAACUACUGGAAACGGUAGCUAAUACCGCAUAACGUCGCAAGACCAAAGUGGGGGACCUUCGGGCCUCACACCAUCGGAUGUGCCCAGAUGGGAUUAGCUAGUAGGUGGGGUAAUGGCUCACCUAGGCGACGAUCCCUAGCUGGUCUGAGAGGAUGACCAGCCACACUGGAACUGAGACACGGUCCAGACUCCUACGGGAGGCAGCAGUGGGGAAUAUUGCACAAUGGGCGCAAGCCUGAUGCAGCCAUGCCGCGUGUAUGAAGAAGGCCUUCGGGUUGUAAAGUACUUUCAGCGGGGAGGAAGGCGGUGGAGUUAAUAACUUCACCGAUUGACGUUACCCGCAGAAGAAGCACCGGCUAACUCCGUGCCAGCCGCCGCCGUAACAC